rnacentral:rRNA from 1 species
CGUAUCACCCAAGACAACUUUACGGAGUUGACGAUUGACGGAGCGAAGCGACGUCAAAGCGUUCAUUAAAGUCGAGUUGGCUUAGGGAUACGUUCGUUGGGUAGGGGAGCGUUCUGUAAGCCUGUGAAGGUGUGUCGUGAGGCAUGCUGGAGGUAUCAGAAGUGCGAAUGCUGACAUAAGUAACGAUAAAGCGGGUGAAAAGCCCGCUCGCCGGAAGACCAAGGGUUCCUGUCCAACGUUAAUCGGGGCAGGGUGAGUCGACCCCUAAGGCGAGGCCGAAAGGCGUAGUCGAUGGGAAACGGGUUAAUAUUCCCGUACUUGGUGUUACUGCGAAGGGGGGACGGAGAAGGCUAUGUUGGCCGGGCGACGGUUGUCCCGGUUUAAGCGUGUAGGUGUGUGUUCCAGGUAAAUCCGGUUCACUUUAACACUGAGGCGUGACGACGAGGCACUACGGUGCUGAAGCAACAAAUGCCCUGCUUCCAGGAAAAGCCUCUAAGCAUCAGGUAACAUCAAAUCGUACCCCAAACCGACACAGGUGGUCAGGUAGAGAAUACCAAGGCGCUUGAGAGAACUCGGGUGAAGGAACUAGGCAAAAUGGUGCCGUAACUUCGGGAGAAGGCACGCUGACACGUAGGUGAAGUGAUUUACUCAUGGAGCUGAAGUCAGUCGAAGAUACCAGCUGGCUGCAACUGUUUAUUAAAAACACAGCACUGUGCAAACACGAAAGUGGACGUAUACGGUGUGACGCCUGCCCGGUGCCGGAAGGUUAAUUGAUGGGGUCAGCGCAAGCGAAGCUCCUGAUCGAAGCCCCGGUAAACGGCGGCCGUAACUAUAACGGUCCUAAGGUAGCGAAAUUCCUUGUCGGGUAAGUUCCGACCUGCACGAAUGGCGUAAUGAUGGCCAGGCUGUCUCCACCCGAGACUCAGUGAAAUUGAACUCGCUGUGAAGAUGCAGUGUACCCGCGGCAAGACGGAAAGACCCCGUGAACCUUUACUAUAGCUUGACACUGAACAUUGAGCCUUGAUGUGUAG